rnacentral:rRNA from 1 species
ACUCAAAUGAAUUGACGGGGACUCGCACAAGCGGUGGAACAUGAGGUUUAAUUCGACAAUGAACGAAGAACCUCACCAGGGUUUGAAAUGCUUAUUGCAAUCCGGAAGAAACUUCGGACCUUCGCAAGAACAGUAAGCACAGGUGCUGCAUGGUUGUCGUCAGCUCGUGCCGUGAGGCGUUCCCUUAAUUGGGGUAACGAGCGCAACCCCUGUUUCGUGUUACAAGUGUCACGAAAAACUGCCCAGCCUAUUACGCGGGAAUAUGAAAUAUCUAAAAAUAUUUUGUGUUCAUUCGUAGCAGGCUGGGAGGAAGGAGGGGAUGACGUCAAAUCCGCAUGGCCCUUUGAUACCCUGGGCUACACUCAUGUUACAAUGGUCACGACAAUGGGUUGCCAAGUCGUAAGACGGAGCUAAUCCCCCAACCGUGGCCCUAGUUCGGAUUGAGGGCUGCAACUCGCCCUCAUGAAGCUGGAAUCGCUAGUAAUCGUGGGUCAGCUAUACCACGGUGAAUACGUUCUCGAGUCCUGUACACACCGCCCGU